GGAGACAUUGUUCUGCUGUGUCUCUAGGCUCUUUGGUACGCUGAGGCUGAUGUGAUUGCCCAGACUCGUGUCCUGCAUGGAAUUUAAACUACUUUUGUAACAGCAAAAGGAAUUUACUGACUUCCUCUCAGACUGAAAGCAGAAAUGACCACUCGCAUCAAAUUAUUUACUUCGAUUUGUAGCUUAUUUAAAAUGAGAUCCCAUUCUUCCAGUCUGUGGCAUUGUCCCAAACUGCCCCAUCAAAGGUUCUAAAAUAUGCUUAGGGCAUCUCUAUUAAGAGGAUGAGGAGAAAGGAGGAGGGAGAAGAUGCUAACAACUAAAUGGUUCAAUAUGAUGCAGUAUUUCCAAUGGCGGGAGACAGAAACAAUGUCACAAUGUGGGAGAGGCACUAAGAAUGAGAUCUGGC